UGGGGAAUUUUGGACAAUGGGCGCAAGCCUGAUCCAGCCAUGCCGCGUGCAGGAUGAAGGCCUUCGGGUUGUAAACUGCUUUUGUACGGAACGAAAAGGUGCCUUCUAAUAAAGGGCGCUCAUGACGGUCCCGUAAGAAUAAGCACCGGCUAACUACGUGCCAGCAGCCGCGGUAAUACGUAGGGUGCGAGCGUUAAUCGGAAUUACUGGGCGUAAAGCGUGCGCAGGCGGUUUUGUAAGACAGAGGUGAAAUCCCCGGGCUCAACCUGGGAACUGCCUUUGUGACUGCAAGGCUGGAGUGCGGCAGAGGGGGAUGGAAUUCCGCGUGUAGCAGUGAAAUGCGUAGAUAUGCGGAGGAACACCGAUGGCGAAGGCAAUCCCCUGGGCCUGCACUGACGCUCAUGCACGAAAGCGUGGGGAGCAAACA
rnacentral:rRNA from 1 species